UACGUAGGGUGCGAGCGUUAAUCGGAAUUACUGGGCGUAAAGCGUGCGCAGGCGGUGAUGUAAGACCGAUGUGAAAUCCCCGGGCUCAACCUGGGAACUGCCUUUGUGACUGCGAGGCUAGAGUAUGGCAGAGGGGGGUGGAAUUCCACGUGUAGCAGUGAAAUGCGUAGAGAUGUGGAGGAACACCGAUGGCGAAGGCAGCCCCCUGGGCCAAUACUGACGCUCAUGCACGAAAGCGUGGGGAGCAAACAGG
rnacentral:rRNA from 1 species